rnacentral:rRNA from 1 species
CAUGCAAGUCGAACGGAAACGAUGGAGCUUGCUCCAGGCGUCGAGUGGCGGACGGGUGAGUAAUGCAUGGGAAUCUGCCUUUUGCUGGGGGAUAACGUAGGGAAACUUACGCUAAUACCGCAUAAGACCUAAGGGUGAAAGCGGGGGACCGAAAGGCCUCGCGGCAAGAGAUGAGCCCAUGUUGGAUUAGCUAGUUGGUGGGGUAAAGGCCUACCAAGGCGACGAUCCAUAGCUGGUCUGAGAGGAUGAUCAGCCACACUGGGACUGAGACACGGCCCAGACUCCUACGGGAGGCAGCAGUGGGGAAUAUUGGACAAUGGGGGGAACCCUGAUCCAGCAAUGCCGCGUGUGUGAAGAAGGCCUUCGGGUUGUAAAGCACUUUCAGUAGGGAGGAAAGGUGCGUAGUUAAUACCUGCGCAAUUGACGU